rnacentral:rRNA from 2 species
GGAGGUAGUGACAAUAAAUCACAAUGCGGAACUUCUGUUUUGCAAUUGGAUUGAGAACAACGCACAACAUUUAUCGAUAAACAAUUGGAGGGCAAGUCUGGUGCCAGCAGCCGCGGUAAUUCCAGCUCCAAUAGCGUAUAUUAACGUUGUUGCAGUUAAAAAGCUCGUAGUUGAAGUGAAGUGUGAAUCUCUUGGAUUUUCGUUUGAAUUUCCUUUAGCUUCAUACUCUUUCCAAAUAGUUUGCAUGGGUAUUUACUUAUCUGUGUAUUGCAUUUGGUCAUUUACUGUGAGAAAAUUAGAGUGUUCAAAGCAUACGUUUGUUUGAAUACAUUAGCAUGGAAUAAUUCGAAAAGGCUUUCAUGUUCGAUUUGAUUGGUUUGUUCGUGAAGGCAAGAUUAAAAGGGACAGUUGGGGGUAUUCAUAUUCAAUAGUCAGAGGUGAAAUUCUCGGAUUUAUGGAAGAUGAACAAGUGCGAAAGCA